rnacentral:tRNA from 1 species
GCCUCGGUGGCGGAAUUGGUAGACGCGCUGGAUUCAAAAUCCAGUAAUCGCAAGGUUGUGCGGGUUCGAUUCCCGCCCGAGGUA